AGCGCGAAACCCACCACAAGAUGAGGCUUCUUUUAAGGGAUGUUCUAGAUGAGGACGUUGAUAGGCUACAGGUCUAAAGGCAGUGAUGUCAUAGCUGAGUAGUACUAAUUACCCGUAAACUUUCCGAU
rnacentral:rRNA from 1 species